AAAUGAUGGGAUUUCACCUCUAAGAUUAAACAAAAAGAACUAUAGUUUCCAUCUCUUCCUCCCCUCCCCCAUUCUAGGGGAAGCAAGCUUCCAUAUUGUGAGCAGACCCAUGGAGAGGCCCAUGUGGCAAAGAAAUAAUUUUUCUGGCCAACAUCCAGCAAGGACCUGAAGCCUCCAACAGCAACGUGAGUGAGUCACAUGAGUGGAUUCUGCUCCAGUUGAGCCUUGAGAUGAUUGCAGCCCAACCUAUCUCAUGGGUUAGCCCAAGUCACCCAGCAAAACCAAGCUUGGAUUCCUGACCCACAGAAAUUACCUCAAGAACUAUUUAGAACAGUACCCGUGAUUUUGGACCUGUUUAUCUUCAUCCUAAUCUUGAAGAGUCUGCAUCUGAAGUUUCUCAUAAUAAAUAUGAGUAUAUUUUCCAAAGGUA